AUAAGGUUAAGUUAAUAAGGGCGCACGGUGGAUGCCUUGGCACUAGGAGCCGACGAAGGACGUGACAAACGACGAUAUGCCUUGGGUAGCUGUAAGUAAGCGAUGAUCCAGGGAUUUCCGAAUGGGGGAACCCAACAGGUAAUACCUGUUACCCACAUCUGUUAAGGAUGUGAGGAGGAAGACGCAGUGAACUGAAACAUCUAAGUAGCUGCAGGAAGAGAAAGCAAAAGCGAUUGCCUUAGUAGCGGCGAGCGAAACGGCAGAAGGGCAAACCGAAGAGUUUACUCUUCGGGGUU
rnacentral:rRNA from 1 species